AAAAAUAAAAAGAUGGUUUGAUUUCAGAUGAGAAAUAAUAUAACUCUAACCCAACACACAACUCUUAAAUGUUAAAUCCAUACCUAACUUUUGAAUACUAAACCCUAAAUUGUUAUCACUAAACUCAAACCUCAAUCCUCACCUUCCAAAUACUAAACCCUAAAUGCUAAUCACUAAACCCUAAAUCCUAAUCACUAAACCCUAAACCCAAAUAUAGACCCUAAACCCAAGUGACCCUA
rnacentral:lncRNA from 1 species